rnacentral:rRNA from 1 species
AAUUCCGUUAAAGCUUCAUCUUGCGGCCGUACUCCCCAGGCGGCGGGCUUAACGGCUUCCCUGCGCCACUGGGUGGGCUCUAAGCCCACCCCAACAGCUAGCCCGCAUCGUUUACAGCUGGGACUACCCGGGUAUCUAAUCCGGUUUGCUCCCCCAGCUUUCGUCCCUCACCGUCGGACGCGUUCCAGCCGAGCGCCUUCGCCACUGGUGGUCCUCCGGGGAUCUACGCAUUUUACCGCUCCCCCCGGAAUACCCUCGGCCCCUCCCGCUCCCUAGCCCCGCAGUAUCCCCGGCAGCCCGCCUGUCUUCAGGCGGAUUUAACCGGAGACUUACGGGACCGGCUACGGACGCUUUAGGCCCAGUAUGCGUGGGAACACCUCGGGGAGCUGGUUUUACCGCGGCGGCUGGCACCAGCCUUACCCUCCCCUUCCUACCCCGGGCUGUUUACACCCGGGAACAGCCGCCCUCAGCGGGCGGCACUCGGGCUCACUCCCUCACGCUUUCGCGCAUUGGGGAAGUUUCCCGCCUGCUGCGCCCCGUAGGGCCUGGGCCCUUGUCUCAGUGCCCAUCUCCGGGCUCCUCCUCUCAGGGCCCGUACCCGUCUUAGGCUAGGUGGGCCGUUACCCCACCUACUACCUGAUAGGCCACGGUCCCAUCCUAGGGCCUCAGCGGGGCCUUUCCCCCACCUACUUUCAGGGUGAGACCAUUCCAGGAACUCACCCCUAUCCGGGAUUAGCCUCAGUUUCCCGAGGUUAUCCCGGUCCCUAGGGUAGGUUGACCGUGUAUUACGGAGCCGUGCGCCGCCAGGAGCAUGGGCUCCCAGCAGACCCGCAUGGCUANGUGAGCCGAUAGGUGUCCCUCCAG